rnacentral:tRNA from 1 species
UCCCGGUGGCUCAGAGGGUAAAGCACCUGCCUGCAAUGUGGGAGACCCGGGUUCGAUUCCUGGGUCAGGAA